CACAUGAGACUUAACUGCAGAUGGGUCCAAUCCUAGGAUUGCAUAGAAAUCAAUCUCUCCAUUAAUUUUCAUCUCAGCAGCACUGUGAACUCCAAAAGUUACCACCAUUUGAGCUAUGCCCUCUAAAUCAGGGCACAACAUUUGAGCUUUCAAAGCAUAAUUUUUUGCACCCAAAAAGUCCUUCUCAGCAAAUCUCUUUUCAGCAUUUACCUUAGCUCUAAGAGCCUCAUCUACAUUGGGUUCCAUCUAAAAAUCCAGAUCUGACAGCAAAUUUCCACAAAGGUAGCUGAGAAGCCAAUCAGCAGCCAAAUGGAGGAAGUUGUUAAAUC